rnacentral:tRNA from 1 species
GCCACCCUAGCUCAGUUGGUAGAGCAACUGAUUCGUAAUCAGUAGGUCAGCAGUUCGAUUCUGCUGGGUGGCU